rfam:Plasmodiophora brassicae isolate e3 genome assembly, contig: scaffold_3
UACCUGGUUGAUCCUGCCAGUAGUGAUAUGCUUGUUUCAAAGAUUAAGCCAUGCAUGUCUAAGUAUAAGCGAACUUAUACAGUGAAACUGCGGAUGGCUCAUUAAAACAGUUUGAAUUUAUUUGAUGGAUGUACGCGAGUACUACAUGGAUAUCCGUAGUAAUUCUAGAGCUAAUACAUGCAGGAACGCCCGACCCUCGCGGAAGGGCUGUAUUUAUUGGAUACAAAAACCAAACCUGGCAACAGGUUUCGUUUGUUGAUUCACAAUAACUGAUCGGACCGUUGCCUCGGCAGCGGCAGGUCAUUCAACAUUCUGCCCUAUCAGCUUUCGAUGGUUGUGUAGUGGACAACCAUGGCCGCAACGGGUAACGGAGAAUCGGGGUUCGAUUCCGGAGAGGGAGCUUGAGAAUUGGCUACCACAUCUAAGGAAGGCAGCAGGCGCGCAAAUUACCCAAUCCUGACUCAGGGAGGUAGUGACAAAAAAUAACAAUACCGGUUCUUGUUAGGACUGGUAAUUGGAAUGAGAACAAGUUAAACCUAUUAUCGAGGAUCCAUUGGAGGGCAAGUCUGGUGGACGAUUCGACAGUGUCUGUUUACUGUUGGCGCCAGAGAUAGUACGGCUUCUCUUUUAUUAAAGAAGUUAUGCGUGCUAGUCGAGCAGCCCAUUCUAGUUGUGGGUGGCUGCCGGCGAGGUAACCUGGUACGAGGAAGGCUAACGGAUUUUUGAUAAUCCUAUGCUAAUCUCGUGGCGAGCCUGUCCGAAGCGAUUCGGGCAUAGAGGCCGUCGUAACGCGCGGAAAGGUACCGGCGGGCUUCCACAGUCCGCUCAAGGAACGUGCUAAUCCCAUUCGAAAGAAUGCCGAUCGACUGGAGCGCCCACAACGCAAAGGACGAUCGGGGGUGUGUGUUUGAUGGAGGAAAUGCCAUCAGACGAGACCCGGUAUAUGUGGCCAGCAGCCGCGGUAAUACCAGCUCCAAUAGCGUAUAUUAAAGUUGUUGCAGUUAAAAAGCUCGUAGUUGGACUUGUGUGCCUGCGCGUGUUCAGCGGUCUGCGUUCAAAAGAGCGUUACGACAUGCGGCGCGCGGGCCGUACAAUCUUCAACUGGAUCGCGUCUGGUCUUGAUUGACUGGGCGCUGCCUAUUCGGUUGAUCGUUUACUGUGAGAAAAGUAGAGUGUUCAAGGCAGGCAUUAUUGCAAUUGAAUAUGUUAGCAUGGAAUAAUAAGAUAAGGCUUUCGUCUUAUUUUGUUGGUUUCUAGGGCGGAAGUAAUGAUUGAUAGGGAUAGUUGGGGGUGCUAGUAUUCAGCGGCCAGAGGUGAAAUUCAUGGAUUCGCUGAAGACUAACUUAUGCGAAAGCAUUCACCAAGGAUGUCCUCUUUAAUCAAGAACGAAAGUUGGGGGAUCGAAGACGAUCAGAUACCGUCGUAGUCUCAACCAUAAACUAUGUCGACUAGGGAUUGGCGGUCGUUUUUAUUGUAAGACUCCGUCAGCACCUUAUGAGAAAUCAAAGUGUUUGGACUCUUGGGGAAGUAUGGUCGCAAGGCUGAAACUUAAAGGAAUUGACGGAAGGGCACCACCAGGAGUGAACCAUGCGUGUUCUGCCCCGCCGCAGCAGCAUCCGCUCCGAAUAGCAGCUGGAAACAGUGAGGUGGGUCGGGUCCUUGUAAAACAAACCUGCUAGUGCCGACGGACGAGUUCGUCGACGCGACAUCGUCAAAUUGCGGGAACCUCCUAACGCUUCACCUACCAAGUGCUGCUACGCGUGUGCGCGAAAGCGCCAGCACGGCCGAGCUAAUCGCCCUGGGUAUGGUAACAACGGUGAAGAUAUAUCAUGGACGAUCCGCAGCCAAGUCCUACGUCGAAGUUCAUUCGAUAUGGAACGGGUUCAGAGACUAGAUGGCGGUGGGUCUGGCGCCUCGCGCGCCUGGCUUAAGAUAUAGUCCAAUCCGGUCAGCGAAAGCGCCGGCAACGAUAUUGGGAGCCUGCGGCUUAAUUUGACUCAACACGGGAAAACUUACCAGGUCCAGAGAUGUAGAGGAUUGACAGAUUGAAGCUCUUUCUUGAUCACUUCGGUGGUGGUGCAUGGCCGUUCUUAGUUGGUGGAGUGAUUUGUCUGGUUAAUUCCGUUAACGAACGAGACCUCAGCCUGCUUUUGUAGUUAUGCCUAUGCCUUCCCGGCCUAGGUCCGUGACUUCUUAGAGGGACUAUCGGUGUGGCAGCCGAUGGAAGUUUGAGGCAAUAACAGGUCUGUGAUGCCCUUAGAUGUUCUGGGCCGCACGCGCGCUACACUGCUGGGUUCAACGAGUCCGAACCGUACUUGGCUGAAAGGCCUGGUUAAUCUUUUGAAAUCCCAGCGUGCUUGGGCUUGCCUCUUGGAACUAGAGGCACCAACGAGGAAUUCCUAGUAGACGCAAGUCAUCAACUUGCAUCGAUUACGUCCCUGCCCUUUGUACACACCGCCCGUCGCUCCUACUGAUUGAGUGCUCCGGUGAAAUGUCGGGAGAUUGCUCCGCCGAUCAGCAAUGGUCGCGGAGUGGUCGAACUUCAUUAAAUUUGGGCUCUUAGAAGAAGGAGAAGUCGUAACAAGGUUUCCGUAGGCGUCGUCGUCGGCGCCGCCUACAGGAGCUGGUCCUUC